CUCAUUCAUUUGCAGGCAAAGGAGGUUUGCGAUAACACAAAAACAUGAGAAGGACUUCAGAGUCAAAACGUCUGCGGAAUAUUAACACCAGUUAUCAUGUCAAAGUGAUGAUAACAUUUUGAUGAGUGUAUACUGUAGAGAAUGCCAGAACUUGGGAUAAUAGCAUGAAUUGGUUAGAAACGUUUAUUCCUUUAGUUCAGUUAGAUCAAGUUAUCAGGGAAGCUAACAAAUUAAUAGUUGAUGUUAAGCCUAAAGAUGCCACACAACUUAAAAGAGGACACCACAUUUCCGUUCCAGGAAGAAAACCAUUAUUCCGUUAUAGACACCAUGCCAUAAUUGUUGAAGUGAAGGAAAAUACCAAUUCAAGAAAAGCAACAGUUGUUGUAAUUCACACUCCUAAUCCCAAACACAAAAAAGGGAGACGUAUUGUACGAGAAGAAAAAGAAUAUGACGUGAACGAGAUUUUGAUUAGGGAGUAUACAUUUUCUAAAUAUACAUUGGAAGAAGUUGCUCAAAACGCGGAACAGCAUUGUAAUUCAAACUGCGACAGGCGGUACAAUCUAUGUAACAUGAACUGUGAACAUUUUUGUACCGAAUGUGCCAUUGGCAUACAUAUGAGCCACCAGGUUCUCAACGCACCAAUGGUUGUAGCCAAAUGUCCGAAGCAUUUUUUACACCAAAAAAUAGUACGUGUUUAUGCAUUUUACGUAAAAGAAAAUGGAUGUUGGAAUGUCUACAUUGGAUUUGCUCUGAUAAUAUUGGUAUUAACCGUGUUUCCCUUCCUGUUUAUGAAACUGACAGGUAUAUCGAGAUCUUUAUACGGAACCCAUGACAAAACACCGGAACAAAGAACGGGAUGACAGUACCAAUGCAAUCACACAAGAGUGAUUUGUGUCACCAAAGUUUAUACUAAAACCUAGAAACUACAAUGACAAGUUUUGUAAUAAACCCUUUACUUACUUUAAUGAGGGUAUUAAGUACACAAAAGAGAGACAAAUCACAUCAUAAAACCAAAACAGACUGCACAUGCAAAAAAAUGUACUUUUUGUUUUAUGUUGUUGGUAUUGCCUAAGAACGGUCAAAAUUCAAUUAAAUUGUC